rnacentral:misc_RNA from 1 species
CCAAUAGCGUAUAUUAAAGUUGUUGCAGUUAAAAAGCUCGUAGUUGAAUUUCGGGAUCAAAGGAUCGGUCAUGCCUUGGUAUGUACUGGUUUUAUUGGUUCUCACCUUCUAAAGAACCAUAAUGUCAUUCAUUUGAUGUUAUGGGGAAUUAGGACUGUUACCUUGAAAAAAUUAGAGUGUUUAAAGCAGGCUCACGCUUGAAUACAUUAGCAUGGAAUAACGAAAUAGGACGUUUGAUUUUAUUUUGUUGGUUUCUAGGAUCGACGUAAUGAUUAAUAGGGAUAGUUGGGGGCAUUAGUAUUCAAUUGUCAGAGGUGAAAUUCUUGGAUUUAUUGAAGACUAACUACUGCGAAAGCAUUUGCCAAGGAUGUUUUCAUUAAUCAAGAACGAAAGUUAGGGGAUCGAAGACGAUAAGAUACCGUCGUAGUCUUAACCAUAAACUAUGCCGACUAGGGAUCGGAUGAUGUUAAUUUUUUAAUGACUCAUUCGGCGCCUUACG